rnacentral:rRNA from 1 species
ACAUGCAAGUCGAGGGGCAGCAUGGUCUUUUCUUGCUAAGGCCGAUGGCGACCGGCGCACGGGUGAGUAACACGUAUCCAACCUGCCGUCUACUCUUGGACAGCCUUCUGAAAGGAAGAUUAAUACAAGAUGGCAUCAUGAGUCCGCAUGUUCACAUGAUUAAAGGUAUUCCGGUAGACGAUGGGGAUGCGUUCCAUUAGAUAGUAGGCGGGGUAACGGCCCACCUAGUCUUCGAUGGAUAGGGGUUCUGAGAGGAAGGUCCCCCACAUUGGAACUGAGACACGGUCCAAACUCCUACGGGAGGCAGCAGUGAGGAAUAUUGGUCAAUGGGCGAGAGCCUGAACCAGCCAAGUAGCGUGAAGGAUGACUGCCCUAUGGGUUGUAAACUUCUUUUAUAAAGGAAUAAAGUCGGGUAUGGAUACCCGUUUGCAUGUACUUUAUGAAUAAGGAUCGGCUAACUCCGUGCCAGCAGCCGCGGUAAUACGGAGGAUCCGAGCGUUAUCCGGAUUUAUUGGGUUUAAAGGGAGCGUAGAUGGAUGUUUAAGUCAGUUGUGAAAGUUUGCGGCUCAACCGUAAAAUUGCAGUUGAUACUGGAUAUCCUGAGUGUAGUUGAGGCAGGCGGAAUUCGUGGUGUAGCGGUGAAAUGCUUAGAUAUCACGAAGAACUCCGAUUGCGAAGGCAGCCUGCUAAGCUGCAACUGACAUUGAGGCUCGAAAGUGUGGGUAUCAAACAGGAUUAGAUACCCUGGUAGUCCACACGGUAAACGAUGAAUACUCGCUGUUUGCGAUAUACUGCAAGCGGCCAAGCGAAAGCGUUAAGUAUUCCACCUGGGGAGUACGCCGGCAACGGUGAAACUCAAAGGAAUUGACGGGGGCCCGCACAAGCGGAGGAACAUGUGGUUUAAUUCGAUGAUACGCGAGGAACCUUACCCGGGCUUAAAUUGCAGAUGAAUUACGGUGAAAGCCGUAAGCCGCAAGGCAUCUGUGAAGGUGCUGCAUGGUUGUCGUCAGCUCGUGCCGUGAGGUGUCGGCUUAAGUGCCAUAACGAGCGCAACCCUUGUUGUCAGUUACUAACAGGUUCCGCUGAGGACUCUGACAAGACUGCCAUCGUAAGAUGUGAGGAAGGUGGGGAUGACGUCAAAUCAGCACGGCCCUUACGUCCGGGGCUACACACGUGUUACAAUGGGGGGUACAGAGGGCCGCUACCACGCGAGUGGAUGCCAAUCCCCAAAACCUCUCUCAGUUCGGACUGGAGUCUGCAACCCGACUCCACGAAGCUGGAUUCGCUAGUAAUCGCGCAUCAGCCACGGCGCGGUGAAUACGUUCCCGGGCCUUGUACACACCGCCCGUCAAGCCAUGGGAGCCGGGGGUACCUGAAGUGCGUAACCGCGAGGAGCGCCCUAGGGUAAAACUGGUGACUGG